rnacentral:rRNA from 1 species
ACGUAGGGUCCAAGCGUUAAUCGGAAUUACUGGGCGUAAAGCGUGCGCAGGCGGUUCUGCAAGACCCGUGUGAAAUUCCCGGGCUUAACGCUGGGAUUGCAUUGGAGACUGCCCGGCUUGAGGGCGGCAGAGGGGGGUAGAAUUCCCCGUGUAGUGGUGAAAUGCGUAGAGAUGUGGAGGAAUACCGAUGGCGAAGGCAGCUCCCUGGAAUAACACUGACGCUCAGGCACGAAAGCGUGGGGAGCAAACAG